ACAAAGUGUGGAGCAAUGAAUGCCGUUCUGUAAUUGGGCGCUUGGAACGGCAGGAGCUAGUAGCGCAACCGACCGCUUCUUUU
rnacentral:ncRNA from 2 species